CUGCAGCCACUGCAGACCUAUUCUCUUCUGUCUCCCUGCAAGCCACUUGGAAGCAGUCAGCCCACAGGAUCUGUGAAUAGCUGGCUGGAGCCAACCGACCAAAACUCAGCCUUGGAAGUCAGGGAGCAUGAGAUCGCGCACCCCCAAGCAUGCCCAUGAUAGCGUAACCGAGGGUCACCGCUAUGCAGACACCAAUGCCUUGCCGUAUGGCUUGUCGGAGGAAGACUGGAACCUUCCUCCUACGUUGUUCCAUCAUUUCUCCUGCUCACACGAGUGGGUUUAGUCUUAACAGGAUCGGAAGGGAACCUAAUUACAGAUUGGUACAUUCGAAAUCCUGGCUACAACACAAACCAAAUCCAAGGAUUGUUCAACGAGAAGUUGCUUUACCAGCCAUGAUGCCUAUGUGACUACCGUUUCAGCGGAAAUAACUAUUCAAAAUUCAUUCUGAUUCGAUUUCUCUGUUCGGGAGUUCCAGACCCUCUCGAUCAGGCAGGCACCAACUACUUAGUAACACAGAUCAACACAAGUCCUGCUCUUAUCUUGUAAACCAAAGGACUCGUCUUCAUCACUUCUCAACACCUAAUCCCACGAGCACAGGCUAGAAAUGAGAAGAC
rnacentral:lncRNA from 1 species